GGGCCGUUAGCUCAGUUGGUAGAGCACCUGACUUUUAAUCAGGGUGUCACAGGUUCGAGACCUGUACGGCCUACCA
rnacentral:tRNA from 3 species